rnacentral:rRNA from 1 species
GAUGAACGCUGGCGGCGUGCCUAAUACAUGCAAGUCGAGCGAACAGACGAGGAGCUUGCUCCUCUGACGUUAGCGGCGGACGGGUGAGUAACACGUGGAUAACCUACCUAUAAGACUGGGAUAACUUCGGGAAACCGGAGCUAAUACCGGAUAAUAUAUUGAACCGCAUGGUUCAAUAGUGAAAGACGGUUCUGCUGUCACUUAUAGAUGGAUCCGCGCCGCAUUAGCUAGUUGGUAAGGUAACGGCUUACCAAGGCAACGAUGCGUAGCCGACCUGAGAGGGUGAUCGGCCACACUGGAACUGAGACACGGUCCAGACUCUUACGGGAGGCAGCAGUAGGGAAUCUUCCGCAAUGGGCGAAAGCCUGACGGAGCAACGCCGCGUGAGUGAUGAAGGUCUUCGGAUCGUAAAACUCUGUUAUUAGGGAAGAACAAAUGUGUAAGUAACUAUGCACGUCUUGACGGUACCUAAUCAGAAAGCCACGGCUAACUACGUG